rnacentral:rRNA from 1 species
CAAGGAAUCUUCCGCAAUGGGGGCAACCCUGACGGAGCAACGCCGCGUGGGGGAUGACGCCCUUCGGGGUGUAAACCCCUUUUCUGCGGGAAGAAGGUGGGGCAACCCACGUGACGGUACCGCAGGAAGAAGGACCGGCUAACUACGUGCCAGCAGCCGCGGUAAUACGUAGGGUCCGAGCGUUGUCCGGAGUUACUGGGCGUAAAGCGCGCGCAGGCGGCGGUGCUGGCCCGGCGUGAAAGCCCCCGGCUCAACCGGGGAGGGUCGUCGGGGACCGCACCGCUUGAGGGCGGUAGGGGCUGGUGGAAUGCCUGGUGUAGUGGUGAAAUGCGUAGAGAUCAGGCGGAACACCCGUGGCGAAGGCGGCCAGCUGGGCCGUCCCUGACGCUGAGGCGCGAAGGCGUGGGGAGCGAACGGGAUUAGAUACCCCGGUAGUCCACGCAGUAAACGAUGCCGACUAGGCGUGGGGGGAGUUGACCCCCUCCGUGCCGGAGCCAACGCGGGAAGUCGGCCGCCUGGGGAGUACGGCCGCAAGGCUAA